rnacentral:rRNA from 1 species
UGGGAACGCGAAGAACCUUACCUAGACUUGACAUCCCCUGAAUUACCUGUAAUGAGGGAAGUCCCUUCGGGGACAGGGAGACAGGUGGUGCAUGGUUGUCGUUAGCUCGUGUCGUGAGGUGUUGGGUUAAGUCCCGCAACGAGCGCAACCCUUAUCCUUAGUUGCUACCAUUAAGUUGAGCACUCUAAAGAGACUGCCCGGGUUAACCGGGAGGAAGGUGGGGAUGACGUCAAAUCAUCAUGCCCCUUAUGUCUAGGGCCACACACGUGCUACAAUGGUGAGUACAACGAGAUGCGAACCCGCGAGGGGGAGCUAAACUCAAAAACUCAUCUCAGUUCGGAUUGCAGGCUGCAACUCGCCUGUAUGAAGCUGGAGUUGCUAGUAAUCGCGAAUCAGAAUGUCGCGGUGAAUACGUUCCCGGGUCUUGUACACACCG